AGGGAAUCUUCGGCAAUGGACGGAAGUCUGACCGAGCAACGCCGCGUGAGUGAAGAAGGUUUUCGGAUCGUAAAGCUCUGUUGUAAGAGAAGAACGAGUGUGGGAGUGGAAAGUUCACACUGUGACGGUAUCUUACCAGAAAGGGACGGCUAACUACGUGCCAGCAGCCGCGGUAAUACGUAGGUCCCGAGCGUUGUCCGGAUUUAUUGGGCGUAAAGCGAGCGCAGGCGGUUAGAUAAGUCUGAAGUUAAAGGCUGUGGCUUAACCAUAGUACGCUUUGGAAACUGUUUAACUUGAGUGCAAGAGGGGAGAGUGGAAUUCCAUGUGUAGCGGUGAAAUGCGUAGAUAUAUGGAGGAACACCGGUGGCGAAAGCGGCUCUCUGGCUUGUAACUGACGCUGAGGCUCGAAAGCGUGGGGAGCAAACAGGAUUAGAUACCCUGGUAGUCCACGCCGUAAACGAUGAGUGCUAGGUGUUAGACCCUUUCCGGGGUUUAGUGCCGUAGCUAACGCAUUAAGCACUCCGCCUGGGGAGUACGACCGCAAGGUUG
rnacentral:rRNA from 1 species